CACUUCUGUACAGACUUCAACGCCAGAAAGAGCCAAGUGGAACAGGUCCAAUGGGAAGUGUUGGUUUUCCAUUGAAAUUAUCAGCAUGUAUCCUGAUCUUCCUGAUCCUGGAAAAUUUCUGUGUUGCU